rnacentral:rRNA from 1 species
UGCAGUCGAGCGGGGUGAUGGUGCUUGCACUAUCACUUAGCGGCGGACGGGUGAGUAAUGCUUAGGAAUCUGCCUAUUAGUGGGGGACAACAUCUCGAAAGGGAUGCUAAUACCGCAUACGUCCUACGGGAGAAAGCAGGGGAUCACUUGUGACCUUGCGCUAAUAGAUGAGCCUAAGUCGGAUUAGCUAGUUGGUGGGGUAAAGGCCUACCAAGGCGACGAUCUGUAGCGGGUCUGAGAGGAUGAUCCGCCACACUGGGACUGAGACACGGCCCAGACUCCUACGGGAGGCAGCAGUGGGGAAUAUUGGACAAUGGGGGGAACCCUGAUCCAGCCAUGCCGCGUGUGUGAAGAAGGCCUUAUGGUUGUAAAGCACUUUAAGCGAGGAGGAGGCUCUUUUGGUUAAUACCCAGAAUGAGUGGACGUUACUCGCAGAAUAAGCACCGGCUAACUCUGUGCCAGCAGCCGCGGUAAUACAGAGGGUGCAAGCGUUAAUCGGAUUUACUGGGCGUAAAGCGCGCGUAGGCGGCCAAUUAAGUCAAAUGUGAAAUCCCCGAGCUUAACUUGGGAAUUGCAUUCGAUACUGGUUGGCUAGAGUGUGGGAGAGGAUGGUAGAAUUCCAGGUGUAGCGGUGAAAUGCGUAGAGAUCUGGAGGAAUACCGAUGGCGAAGGCAGCCAUCUGGCCUAACACUGACGCUGAGGUGCGAAAGCAUGGGGAGCAAACAGGAUUAGAUACCCUGGUAGUCCAUGCCGUAAACGAUGUCUACUAGCCGUUGGGGCCUUUGAGGCUUUAGUGGCGCAGCUAACGCGAUAAGUAGACCGCCUGGGGAGUACGGUCGCAAGACUAAAACUCAAAUGAAUUGACGGGGGCCCGCACAAGCGG